rnacentral:rRNA from 1 species
AUUGAACGCUGGCGGCAGGCCUAACACAUGCAAGUCGAGCGGAUGAAGGGAGCUUGCUCCUGGAUUCAGCGGCGGACGGGUGAGUAAUGCCUAGGAAUCUGCCUGGUAGUGGGGGAUAACGUCCGGAAACGGGCGCUAAUACCGCAUACGUCCUGAUGGAGAAAGUGGGGGAUCUUCGGACCUCACGCUAUCAGAUGAGCCUAGGUCGGAUUAGCUAGUUGGUGGGGUAAAGGCCUACCAAGGCGACGAUCCGUAACUGGUCUGAGAGGAUGAUCAGUCACACUGGAACUGAGACACGGUCCAGACUCCUAAGGGAGGCAGCAGUGGGGAGUAUUGGACAAUGGGCGAAAGCCUGAUCCAGCCAUGCCGCGUGUGUGAAGAAGGUCUUCGGAUUGUAAAGCACUUUAAGUUGGGAGGAAGGGCAGUAAGUUAAUACCUUGCUGUUUUGACGUUACCAACAGAAUAAGCACCGGCUAACUUCGUG